rnacentral:rRNA from 1 species
UACGUAGGGGGCGAGCGUUGUCCGGAUUUAUUGGGCGUAAAGAGCUCGUAGGCGGUUUGGUAAGUUGGAUGUGAAAUCUCCAGGCUCAACUUGGAGGGGUCAUUCGAUACUGCCAUGACUAGAGUUCGGUAGGGGAGUGUGGAAUUCCUGGUGGAGCGGUGGAAUGCGCAGAUAUCAGGAGGAGCACCGAUUGCGAAGGCAGCUCGCUGGGACGUCACUGACGCUGAGACGCGAAAGCGUGGGGAGCAAACAGG